UACGGAGGUGGCAAGCGUUGCUCGGAAUCACUGGGCGUAAAGGGCGCGUAGGCGGGGAGGUAAGUCGGGUGUGAAAUCCCUCGGCCCAACCGAGGAACUGCGCCCGAGACUGCUUCUCUUGAGUCCCGGAGAGGAAGAUGGAAUUCCCGGUGUAGCGGUGAAAUGCGUAGAGAUGUGGAGGAACACCAGUGGCGAAGGCGACUCUUUGGCCUGUAACUGACGCUGAGGCGCGAAAGCGUGGGGAGCAAACAGG
rnacentral:rRNA from 1 species